GUGGUCGUAGCUCAGUUGGUAGAGCACCGGAUUGUGAUUCCGGUUGUCGCGGGUUCAACCCCCGUCGAUCACCCCA
rnacentral:tRNA from 1 species